GCCCACGUAGCUCAGUCGGCAGAGCACACCCUUGGUAAGGGUGAGGUCGGGGGUUCAAGUCCCCUCGUGGGCU
rnacentral:tRNA from 1 species